UAUAUCGCAUACUGAUAGGAAGUGCUCCUUGUUAUGUUUAAGGAGAAGUGAAGUAGAUGCAGGCAUACAAUGGAGCUGCAAUAAUGGGUGCUGCUGUACAACAACCCAAUCUUUUUACUAAAGGUUCUUCAACUUUUUUUCCCAAGUUGGGUACUACUACUGCGGAUAGAUUACCUUCUCAAGUUAGGCAGACCCUGAAGUACGUUCAAUAAUUGAUAGUGAGAAGAAUCGUCAGUUUAACAGCUUGGAGCUCAUUGCUUCAGAGAAUUUUACAUCUCGCGCAGUGAUGGAAGCUGUGGGUUCUUGUCUCACAAACAAGUAUACAUAAGGGCUUUCUGGUAAAAGGUAUUAUGGUGGCAAUGAGUACAUUGAUGAGCUAGAGACACUUUGUCAACAAAGGACUUUGUUCAUGUAACUGGCAAAGGGUAUGGAUCUUCCUCAUGGAGGUCACUUGUCACAUGGAUUUAUGACUCCUAAAAGACGGGUAUCUGGGACUUCGAUUUAUUUUGAAUCGAUGCCCUACCGUCUUGAUGAAUCAACAGGCCUUAUUGAUUAUGAUAUGCUUGAGAAAACUGCCACCCUCUUUCGACCAAAACUCAUCAUUGUUGGUGCUAGUGCUUAUCCUCGUGAUUUCAAUUAUC